GGUGGAAUUGUAGUUGUAGUUUGUGUGUCGAUCGUUGGGAAAUGUGAAGUGGGACGAGAAUUUGCAUGAAGAGCGUUUCGGAGCAUACCGAAGUCCUGUGUGGUGUUAACACCGCUGCAUACUCUCAUAAAUAUUACAGGGUGCAUCAGGAAGAAAAAUUUAUGGCCCUUUCAAACUAAUUUACUCGAUGUUUUCUCCAUGGCAUCCUCAAGACGACGUCGGAAGCUAGAACACGCCGUUCGGAGGUAGUCCUCCGACAUUGACUGCCAUGUACGCGUUAUUGCAGACCACAGGGUCUUCACACUAAGAUAGCCGCGCGAGAUAGCUGGUGGAUGAUAAUCCAGACGACCGGAGUUCGAACCCGCAUCGGAGCAGUUUUCACCAAACAUCAAUCUGUGCCAUUUUAAACAUUCAUAUUCCUCUCCCAACACAAGUCAAUCUAACAAUUAUUAUUUCUACAAACAUAAAUACUCAUAUAUAAAAAUGGCGAUUUG